CUCUUCUACUCUGCCAAUGAUAAUUUUUCUUUGAGUGGUUAUUCUGACAGUGAUUGGGCUGCUUGCCCUGAUAUCCGAAGGUCUGUUACUGGAUUUUCUGUUCUUCUGGGUGGUUCUUUAAUCAGCUGGAAAUCUAAGAAACAACCUGUUGUGUCUUUAUCAUCUGUUGAGGCAGAGUAUCGGGCUUUAAGCAAAAUUGUGGCUGAGCUUUCCUGGUUAUCUCGCUUGUUAUCUGAUCUUGGUGUUCCUAUUUCCCUUCCAAUUUCUGUCUACUGUGAUAGUCAAUCUGCCAUACACAUUGCUACUAAUCCUGUUUUCCAUGAACGCACAAAGCAUAUAAUUGCUGUCUAUUCCUAUUUCUGUUUACUGUGAUAGUCAAUCUGCCAUACACAUUGAUACUAAUCCUGUUUUCCAUGAACGCACAAAGCAUAUAGAGGUGGACUGUCACUUUGUGCGUGAUCAGGUCAAGGCUUCAUCAAGUUGUUACAUGUAUCUACUUCUCGGCAACUGACUGAUUUUCUCACCAAGCCCCUAACCGGCACUGCUCUACAUCCGCUGCUGUCCAAGUUGAAGGUGGUGUCCCCCUCCAACUUGAGGGGGGGUGUUGACUUACAAGAUUACAUGGCUUCUAAGCCAN
rnacentral:lncRNA from 1 species